GUGAGGAAUAUUGGACAAUGGGCGCAAGCCUGAUCCAGCCAUGCCGCGUGCAGGAAGACGCAUCUAUGGUGUGUAAACUGCUUUUGUACGGGAAGAAACACUCCCUCGUGAGGGAGCUUGGCGGUACCGUAAGAAUAAGGAUCGGCUAACUCCGUGCCAGCAGCCGCGGUAAUACGGAGGAUCCAAGCGUUAUCCGGAAUCAUUGGGUUUAAAGGGUCAGUAGGCGGGUUAAUAAGUCAGUGGUGAAAGCCCAUCGCUCAACGAUGGAACGGCCAUUGAUACUGUUAGACUUGAAUUACAAGGAAGUAACUAGAAUAUGUAGUGUAGCGGUGAAAUGCUUAGAUAUUACAUGGAAUACCAAUUGCGAAGGCAGGUUACUACUUGUGGAUUGACGCUGAUGGACGAAAGCGUGGGGAGCGAACAGGAUUAGAUACCCGAGUAGUCC
rnacentral:rRNA from 1 species